rnacentral:rRNA from 1 species
GACGAACGCUGGCGGCGUGCUUAACACAUGCAAGUCGAACGGAAAGGCCCUGCUUUUGUGGGGUGCUCGAGUGGCGAACGGGUGAGUAACACGUGAGUAACCUGCCCUUGACUUUGGGAUAACUUCAGGAAACUGGGGCUAAUACCGGAUAGGAGCUCCUGCUGCAUGGUGGGGGUUGGAAAGUUUCGGCGGUUGGGGAUGGACUCGCGGCUUAUCAGCUUGUUGGUGGGGUAGUGGCUUACCAAGGCUUUGACGGGUAGCCGGCCUGAGAGGGUAACCGGCCACAUUGGGACUGAGAUACGGCCCAGACUCCUACGGGAGGCAGCAGUGGGGAAUAUUGCACAAUGGGCGGAAGCCUGAUGCAGCAACGCCGCGUGCGGGAUGACGGCCUUCGGGUUGUAAACCGCUUUCGCCUGUGACGAAGCGUGAGUGACGGUAAUGGGUAGAGAAGCACCGGCUAACUACGUG